UGGCCAGCACACACUCUCUUUCCCUGUCUGUGUCCUUGCCUCUCCCUGUGCUUUCUCCCUUUAUAGGACACGGGUAGGUGUGGAUCCCCACAGGCUAGGUCUCGGGAGGCAGGAAGAAGUAGGAGGGGAUGAAAAUCAUGUGGGGUCGUGGGUGCGAGAGUGGAGGCAGGUAUUGUAAAAUAUCUAGCACGGUAGCAUGUUGGACAGUGAUGGCUCUUCCAUAUGUGGUUUGCUGUUCUUGCAGAGGCCCGCUCAAGGCCAAUGGAGCCGCCCCAGACAGAGGAGAAGCAUCUGGAGGAACCAGACCUGCACAAUCUAGAUGUUUUUCACUUGGCAGUGGAGCUAAGGAGUGCUCUUGUGAUAUUUGAGGAGCAGGUACGGAUGCCCAGUUAGCUACGGCUCAGUGUGUAACAAAAUGAGCUGUGGAUAUGUGGGAGACAAGGUCCCCAUUUUCAGCAUCAGCUCAUUUCUCCGUUCACAAGCGGUGUGUCCUCUGCAGAAAAGCUUGGAUCCAGGAGGAUGAUUCCAGCUGCGCUGGUACAGGAAUUGUCCAGGAACCCUACCCGGAGGAGAGAGACUCAGAAGUGAACCUGAUCAGCCUGAACAUUCUUCUAAGCAGACAUGAACAGUCCUCAGCUUUCUGCCUCCUGCAUAAAUGGCUGAAAAGAAGUCAUGUGCCAGUCUACUGCCCUCAUGUGAUGGAAAGCGAGCGAGAGCGAUGAGACCGUGAGCAUGGUUGAUGCCACGCAAAAGCCGUCCAUCUGGCAGCAGAAGAGCCGUCGCUGUCAGUGAGAUAAGUGUCUGUUUUGAGGAAUUGUCCAGGAGCGCUGUCUGGAGGAGAGACUCUCAAAAGUGGACCUGAACAUCCUUCUAAGCAGACAUGAACAGUCCUCAGCUUUCUGCCUCCUGCAUAACUGGCUUACCAAGGGAAAAGAAGUCACGUAUCAAUCUACUGUCCUCAUGCGAAGGAAAGCGAGACCGACGAGACCGCGAUCAUUGUCGAAAUCAGGCAUUAGCUGUACAUCUGGGAGCGGAGCAGUCACCGCUGUCAGUGAGAUAAAUGUCUGGUUUGGUGAGGGGUCUGCU